AGAGUUCGAUCAUGGCUCAGAUUGAACGCUGGCGGGAUGCUUACAUGCAAGUCAGACGGCGGCACGGACUUCGGUCCGUGGCGAGUGGCGAACGGGUGAGUAAUGUAUCGGAACGUGCCUAGUAGCGGGGGAUAACUACGCGAAAGCGUAGCUAAUACCGCAUACGCCCUUCGGGGAAAGCGGGGGACCUUCGGGCCUCGCACUAUUAGAACGGCCGAUAUCGGAUUAGCUUCGUUGGUGGGAGUAACGGCUCACCAAGGCGACGAUCCGUAGCUGGUUUGAAGAGGACGACCAGCCACACUGGGACUGAGACACGGCCCAGACUCCUACCAGGAGGCAGCAGUGGGGAAUUUUUGGUUAUCGGGAAACCCUGAUCCAGCCAUCCCAGCGUGUGCGAUAGGCCUUCGGGUUGUAAAGCACUUUGGCAGGAAAGAAACGGCACGGGAUAAUACCCAUGCAGCCACAGCCGAUACCUGCAGUCAGCACCGGCUAACUACGUGCAACGGCCGCGGUAAUGCGUAGAGGUGCAAGCGUUAAUCGGAAUUACUGGGCGUAAAGCGUGCGCAGGCGGUUCGGAAGAAAGAUGUGAAAUCCCAGAGCUUAACUUUUUGGAACUGCAUUUUAACUACCGAGCUAGAGUGUGUCAGAGGAGGUGGAAUUCCCUUGAUGUAGCAGUGAAAUGCGUAGAUAUGCCGGAGGAACACCGAUAGCGAAGGCAGCCUCCUGGGAUAACACUGACGCUCAUGCACGAAAGCGUGGGGAGCAAACAGGAUAGAUACCCUGGUAGUCCACGCCCUAAACGAUAUCGACUAGCUGUUGAGGCCUUCAGGCGUGGUAGCACCAACUAACGCGUGAAGUUGACCGCCUGAGGUGGUCGCAAGAUUAAAACUCAAAAGGAGUGACAGCAGGGACCGCACAAGCGGUGGAUGAUGUGGAUUAAUUCGAUGCAACGCGAAAAACCUUACCUACCCAUGACAUGUCUGGAAUCCCGAGGAGAUUUGGGAGUGCUCGCAAGGAGAACCGGAACACAGGUGCUGCAUGGCUGUCGUCAGCUCAUGUCGUGAGAUGUUGGGUUAAAAGUCCCGCAACGAGCGCAACCGCUAAUCAUGGUGCCGUACGUAAUGGUGGGAACUCACAAGGAGACCGCCGGUGACAAACCGGAGGAAGAGUGGGGAUGACGUCAAGUCAUCAUAUUUGCCACGACAGGGCUACGCACGUACUACAAUGGUAGGGACAGAGGGGCUGCAAACCCGCGAGGGCAAGCCAAUCCCGAAACCCUAUCUCAGUCCGGAUUGGAGUCUGCAACUCGACUCCAUGAAGUCGGAAUCGCUAGUAAUCGCAGAUCAGCAUUGCUGCGGUGAAUACGUUCCCGGGCCUUGUACACACCGCCCGUCACACCAUGGGAGUUUGUUGCACCAGAAGCAGGUAGCUUAACCUUCGGGAGGCACUUGCCACGGUGUGGCCGAUGACUGGGGUGAAGUCGUAACAAGGUAA
rnacentral:rRNA from 1 species